AUGGCCCUGAUUUUCCUGGCUGUCAUGUUGGAACUGGCAGACUUUGGUCAUGCCCAAAAGGACUCUGUGCUCCAGUUCCCAGCAGAAAUGACCGUCCAGGCAGGACACAACACAGCUCUGCACUGCAACUUCUCCACCAGCAGUGCCAAUCCUUACCUCUACUGGUACCAGCACCACCAGGCCCAGGCCCCUCAGAUGCUUUUAUGGGUGAGCAAGUACAGAGCUCUCGUGGACUCGGAGAGGUUCUCAUCUGAACUGUCUGUGAAGACCUCCCAGGUGCUUCUGCGUGUGCGGGAUGUGGAGCUCCAGGACAGCGCUGCCUAUUUCUGUGCACUGAGCCCACCCUGGUGCCCAGAGCUUGCAGCUGUGCACAGAAACGUGGUGGGGGCUCUGAGGGGUGGUUCCCUCCCUGCCACUGCUUGCAUGGAGCUCUGA